GAUGAACGCUAGCGGCAGGCCUAAUACAUGCAAGUCGAGGGGCAUCUCCCGCAGCAAUGCGGGAAGCGACCGGCGCACGGGUGCGUAACGCGUAUGUAACCUGCCCUCAGCAGGGGGAUAGCCCGUGGAAACAUGGAUUAAUACCCCAUAAAGCAGGGGUGUCACAUGGCACUAUUUGCUAAAGCUCCGGCGGCUGAGGAGGGGCAUGCGUCUGAUUAGCUAGUUGGUAGGGUAACAGCCUACCAAGGCAACGAUCAGUAGGGGAUCUGAGAGGAUGAUCCCCCACACUGGUACUGAGAUACGGACCAGACUCCUACGGGAGGCAGCAGUAGGGAAUAUUGGGCAAUGGGCGCAAGCCUGACCCAGCCAUGCCGCGUGCAGGAUGAAGGCCUUCUGGGUUGUAAACUGCUUUUCUACAGGAAGAAACGUUCCCUGCGGGGAAAAUCGACGGUACUGUAGGAAUAAGCACCGGCUAACUCCGUGCCAGCAGCCGCGGUAAUACGGAGGGUGCAAGCGUUGUCCGGAUUUACUGGGUUUAAAGGGUGCGUAGGCGGAGGAUUAAGUCAGUGGUGAAAGCCUGCGGCUUAACCGCAGAAGUGCCAUUGAUACUG
rnacentral:rRNA from 1 species